GUUAUUUCCAAGGUCCUUAUUGGCUGACGAAUGCAGCUCAGCCUUGUUCUUUUCUAUUCUCUUAAAGUAUUCUUUGAGGAGAGUUUUCACAUGAGGAAAGUGCUUCAGAGAGGAAAAUAUGUCAGGUUCCCACGAGCAUGUCACUAACCAUUUCCUGGGCCUUAUCACCGGGAGGAAAAAAAGGAGCGCCUUUGAAAAGUGGAAACAAAACAUCAGGCCCCAUUGUUGUGUGACUUCCCCGGCCACAAUCUGGGCUCUCCAUCGCUCUACACGCGGAGACUACAAACACGCCCUAAUACAGAUACUCCAAUCCGCAAUUUGACCAGGACAUUUAUUGUUCUGUAUCUGCAAUCUCUGCUGCGUGUUUGUGGCUUUUAAAUCAUCUGUGUUUUUUUUUUUUUUUUUUUUUUUAUUACUCUUUCCAGGCUCAGAGCAAGUCAAAAGCCUCUGAUGGCGGUCAACACCGAGAGAAGCGACUGAGUCAGUUUGCAAACUCCUGUGUGCCUUCUUGUGGGGAGUUCACGGCGGAGGAGGCAGCCUUGCUCACCUUUUUCUGUCUUUUCAACUUCACUCUGUCCUCUUGUUCCCCUUCCCCAGCUUUAGACCCUCUUUUCCUCCUCUCGUUUCACCUUCUCUCUUUCUUCAGUUCUGCCUUGGUCUGUCCCUCUUUGAUUCAUUUGUCAACUCUUGCUCCUACUUAAAGGAUUGGC
rnacentral:lncRNA from 1 species